UACGGGGGGGCAAGCGUUGUUCGGAAUUACUGGGCGUAAAGGGCGCGUAGGCGGUUUGCUAAGUUGGAUGUGAAAACUCUGGGCUUAACCCAGAGCCUGCAUCCAAAACUGGCAAACUUGAGUACUGGAGGGGAAAGCGGAAUUCCUGGUGUAGCGGUGAAAUGCGUAGAUAUCAGGAGGAACACCUGCGGUGUAGACGGCUUUCUGGACCAUUGCUGACGCUGAGACACGAAAGCGUGGGUAGCAAACAGG
rnacentral:rRNA from 1 species